GGCAAGCGGUGCUUAAGUAGGUGUUUCACUAAUAUCAGAAGGAUUUGGAUAUGCUUGCCCCUGAGCCUGACAACACACUUUAUCACAAUGCACCCAUACAAACCGAGCAACACAGCACCCAAUGUUUUCUAUAAAAGGGGUUAAAAAGAAUAACAAUUACCUAAUUCAAUGGUU